UCACCUAAUUUCAUUAUUUCAUCUCAUCUCAUCUCAGUUCAUCUGAUCUCAUUUCAUCUCAGCAUUUCAUCUCAUCAUUUUUCAUCUCAUCAUUUUUCAUCUCAUCAUUUAAUCUCAUUUCAUUUCAUUUGAUCUCAUCAUUUCAGCUCAUUUCAUGUCACAUCUAUUCAUUUCAUCAUUUCAUUUCAACAUUUCACCAUUUCAUCUCAUCAUUUCAUCUCAUCUUUCAAUUUCAUUUCAAUAUCAUUUCAUCAUUUCAUUUCAUCUCAUUUCAUUAUUUCAUUAUUUCAUUUCAUUUCAAUUCAUCUCAUUUCAUCUCAUCAUAUUUCAUCUCAUCUCAUCAUUUCAUUUCAUCUCAUCAUUUCAUCUCAUUUUAUCUCAUCUCAUCAUUUCUUCUCAUCUCAUCAUUUCCAUUUCAUUUUCAUUUCAUUAUUUCAUCAUUUCAUCUCAUCAUUUCUUCUCAUCUCAUCAUUUCC
rnacentral:lncRNA from 1 species